UGACUUGAGUNCAGAAGGGGAGAGUGGAAUUCCAUGUGUAGCGGUGAAAUGCGUAGAUAUAUGGAGGAACACCAGUGGCGAAAGCGGCUCUCUGGUCUGUCACUGACGCUGAGGCUCGAAAGCGUGGGUAGCGAACAGGAUUAGAUACCUUGGUAGUCCACGCCGUAAACGAUGAGUGCUAGGUGUUAGGCCCUUUCCGGGGCUUAGUGCCGGAGCUAACGCAGUAAGCACUCCGCCUGGGGAGUACGACCGCAAGGUUGAAACUCAAAGGAAUUGACGGGGGCCCGCACAAGCGGUGGAGCAUGUGGUUUAAUUCGAAGCAACGCGAAGAACCUUACCAGGUCUUGACAUCCCGAUGCUAUUCUUAGAGAUAGGAAGUUACUUCGGUACAUCGGAGACAGGUGGUGCAUGGUUGUCGUCAGCUCGUGUCGUGAGAUGUUGGGUUAAGUCCCGCAACGAGCGCAACCCUUAUUGUUAGUUGCCAUCAUUAAGUUGGGCACUCUAGCGAGACUGCCGGUAAUAAACCGGAGGAAGGUGGGGAUGACGUCAAAUCAUCAUGCCCCUUAUGACCUGGGCUACACACGUGCUACAAUGGUCGGUACAACGAGUUGCGAGCCGGUGACGGCAAGCUAAUCUCUGAAAGCCGAUCUCAGUUCGGAUUGGAGGCUGCAACUCGCCUCCAUGAAGUCGGAAUCGCUAGUAAUCGCGGAUCAGCACGCCGCGGUGAAUACGUUCCCGGGCCUUGUACACACCGCCCGUCACACCACGAGAGUUUGUAACACCCGAAGUCGGUGAGGUAACCUUUUAGGGGCCAGCC
rnacentral:rRNA from 1 species